AUUGAACGCUGGCGGCAGGCCUAACACAUGCAAGUCGAACGAGUGGCGGACGGGUGAGUAAUGUCUGGGAAACUGCCUGAUGGAGGGGGAUAACUACUGGAAACGGUAGCUAAUACCGCAUACCAUCGGAUGUGCCCAGAGGGGAUUAGCUAGUAGGUGGGGUAAAGGCUUACCAAGGCGACGAUCCGUAGCUGGUCUGCGAGGAUGACCAGCCACACUGGAACUGAGACACGGUCCAGACUCCUACGGGAGGCAGCAGUGGGGAAUAUUGGACAAUGGGCGAAAGCCUGAUCCAGCCAUGCCGCGUGUGUGAAGAAGGUCUUCGGAUUGUAAAGCACUUUCAGUUGGGAGGCGUUACCCACAGAAUAAGCACCGGCUAACUUCGUGCCAGCAGCCGCGGUAAUUC
rnacentral:rRNA from 1 species